AUUUGGUUGGUGCAAAAGUAAUGGCAGGUUUUGUCAUUACUUUUAAUUAAAAGUAAGUAACAUUAUUUUUAAUGGCAAAAACCACAAUUAUUUUUGCACCAACCUAACAC
rnacentral:miRNA from 1 species